rnacentral:rRNA from 1 species
UACGUAGGGCGCAAGCGUUGUCCGGAAUUAUUGGGCGUAAAGAGCUCGUAGGCGGCUUGUCACGUCGGUUGUGAAAAGCCCGGGGCUUAACCCCGGGUCUGCAGUCGAUACGGGCAGGCUAGAGUGUGGUAGGGGAGAUCGGAAUUCCUGGUGUAGCGGUGAAAUGCGCAGAUAUCAGGAGGAACACCGGUGGCGAAGGCGGAUCUCUGGGCCAUUACUGACGCUGAGGAGCGAAAGCGUGGGGAGCGAACAGG